UACAUACUUCCUUCAUCCGGAAAUAUUUGUCAUUGAAAUGGAUGUAUCUAGAUGUAUUUUACUUCUAGAUAUAUCCAUUUUCAUCCAUUUUGAUGACAAGUAAUUUCGGACGGAGGAAGUACUAC
rfam:Triticum aestivum genome assembly, contig: Triticum_aestivum_CS42_TGACv1_scaffold_320521_4BL